rnacentral:lncRNA from 10 species
GGGAUUACAGGCGUGAGCAUGACUUGUGGACUCCCCCCAUUUAGCCCUCACUGUAACCCCCAUGUUAUGGAUUGAAUGUUAGAGUCCCCUGAAGAUUCAUAUGAUGAAAACUAAUACCCAACGUGAGAAUAUUAAGAGGUAGCGUGUCUGUUGAGCAGUCUAGGGAUGGAUGGAUGGAUGGACAGAUGGAGAUAUAACGAUAGAUAGAUAGAUAGAUAGAUAGAUAGAUAGAUAGAUAGACAAUAGAUAGUAAAUAGGUAGGACUUUUGGGACAUGAUCACAUCAUGAGGGCUUCAUCCUUGUGAAUGGGAUUCAUGCCCUUAUUUUAUUUAUUUUUUAUUUAUUUUUUUUUUGAGAUGGAGUUUUGCUCUUGUGUUCACUAGGCAAAUGCAGGAAGAAAGAACAACAUUUUAUUAAUAUGUGGAGCCAAUGGCCUGUGCAAAAGUCCUGUAGUGGGGUGGAGGAAGGAAGGGCUGAAGGAACUGGGUGAUGAGCUGGACCUGGAAUGCAGACUAACUGGGGAGGGUGGAGGGUACGAGGUAGACAGGGACCACCCCAUCAGGAAACUUCUAGUUGUUUUUUUUUUUUUUUUUUGAGACAGGAUCUCACUCUAUCGCCCAGGUUGGAGUGCAGUGGUGCAAUCUUGGCUCACUGCAACCUCCACCUCCCGGGUUCAAGCGAUUCUCCUGACUCAAGCCUCCUGAGCAGCUGGGAUUACAGACAUGUGCCACCACACCCAGCUAACUUUUAUGGAUUGGGGACCCAGUUAGCAAUCACCUGUGAGAGAGACCAGGACUGGAGCGGCUUGGACCAGGAUACUCCUAUCAUCGACCUCCUCCCACAGCAAGGAAGAAGCAGAGUUGAGUAACGGACAUUUACGUUGCUCUGAUUCUCUGCCAUCCCAAGCAGCACCAUGAGGAACAGCGCUAUGCAGGACCUUCUGCGGAUGCACCUGUGCCAGUCUGUCUGGCUGGGGCCUGCACACUCCGAGAAAGGACUGUGCACUCUGAGGAAGGACUGCGCAGUCUGAGGAAGGGCUGAGCACUCUUGUGGAAGUACCGCCCACUCUGAGGAAGGACCGUGCACUCUGAGGAAGGACUGCGCAGUCUGAGGAAAGGCUGCGCACUCUCGUGGAAGUACCGCCCACUCUGAGGAAGGACUGCUAGGUUGUCUCUCUGGAAAGUUUUCUGUUGCCCAUGCGGAGAAUAUUCAAGUUUUGUUUCGGCCUUCCAGAAUUUCCCUCCUGUUUGGGGGGGAUCAUCCUCCACUCCGUUAUACAGCCUCGGAGGCAGACACCACUCGUCAUCGGAUGUCAAACCAAAGCUCCCCCAGGCUUAGCAGUCACUUCCUGAAAGUCUGCAGCAGACGACACGGCUUCUCCCAGCCCGUCUUCUUCCCCACACGGUGGGCAUGGUAACGUCCUUAACAUGCACCUGUCAGUGUGAAAGCAGCAGGCUGAGAUCACACACCAAGUUCCCGUAAGUAUUCUGCAUUCAUUACCUUAUUUUUCUUUUGAGACGAAGUCUCGCUCUGUUGCCCAGGCUGGAGUAGGGCAGUGGUGCGAUCUCAGCUCACUGCAACCUCUGCCUCCUGGGUUCAAGUGAUCCUCCCACCUCAGCCUCCGGAGUAGCUGGGAUUACAGGUGUCCACCAUCAUGCCUGGCUAAUUUUUGUGUUUUCAGUAGAGUCGGGGUUUCAGCAUGUUAGCCGAGCUGGUCUUGAACUCCUGAGCUCAAGUGAUCCACCCACCCGAGCCUCCUAAAGUGUUGCGAUUACAGGUAUGAGCCACUGCACCCAGCCUUAUUUAAUUUUCAAAAACAGUCCCUUUUCAGGAGGGGCAUUACUACCAGUCCUGUCUUAGGAGGUGGGUGCUGAGGCCUGUGGUCACUUGCCCUUCCUGGAUAGCCUGGCACCUAAACCCUUCCCUGCACUGUUGAGUCUUGAAGGCAGACCUAGACUCCAGUGAUGUGCACUGGACCGUCCAGGUGGCUGUUUCCAGAUGCCCUCGCAGCCCGGCACAGGCUGUACCUGCCCCAGCCCUUGACACUGAGCCAGAAGCUGAAGCAGAGAGCAAGGCAGUGACCGUGGGGGGGCUUGGACGCAAGGUGGUACCGUGGCGGGCUCAGCCACAAGGCGGCAACCAUGGAGGGUUUGACAUAGAACCCCUCCCAGGCUCAGGCGCUGGGCACACAGGAACCAAAAGGACCAGGGUGAAGCCAGCCCCAAGACUGGGCGGCAGGGGAGUGGUCAGACCAGCGCUCUCAUCCUACGCUUUCCAAAGCCCGGCAACUGCCCUUCAUCCACCCGGCAGAGGCUACAGAUUUCCUCUCUGGAGAGAAGGAACCGGGGUUGCUCGCUGAGCUGACAAGAGGUGGCAUCCUGGAAAGAUGCAGCUGGCCAAAGCCUGCCCUCCAUACGGAGUCCCCCCCUCGGCCAAUGGCUCCAGCUAAAGGUGAGAGAAUUCCUUGCGUGGCAGAAUGGGCCACCCAAGACCUACCAACACUGACACUCAGGACCCCAGUCAAACAGAGUGGCCUUAGCAAGGGAGGUGGGUGCCAUUAUCAUCACUUGCGGAUGUGGAACUCAUGCCCAGAGGGUAUGACCAACCUGUAGGUUCCCAGCCAGGAAGCUGAAGGGCUCAGAUGCGAACCUGACUCAGUGUGGCACUCGGCAGGUCCCUUCCAGGAGCCUCAUCCCUGCCUCCGUAGGAUGGAGGUGGGGACAGCCCUCCUGAGGACACAUUUCCUGCACUGCCUCCCACAGCUGUGCCCAGACUCCCAGAGCCUCUCUCAUGCCAAGAGAGUCUGUGGUGGGAGCCAAGACAGCUGACCCCAGAAGCCCCGGGCACCCCAGACGCUCGGCCCUGGGAGGGUGGCUGUGCCGGACAGACUCCAGACAGAGCUCAGACUCCGGGUCUACACACAGUGACUUUAUUACUCUAUGGAUGCUGGUGAACUGCCCUCCCCAACCAGCUUCACGGGGGCAGGCAUCUCUGUCCAUCCCAUGCC